UACGGAGGGAGCUAGCGUUGUUCGGAAUUACUGGGCGUAAAGCGUGCGUAGGUGGUUCGUUAAGUCUGAUGUGAAAGCCCUGGGCUCAACCUGGGAAUGGCAUUGGAAACUGGCGACCUAGAGUGCGGUAGAGGGUAGUGGAAUUCCCGGUGUAGCAGUGAAAUGCGUAGAGAUCGGGAGGAACAUCCGUGGCGAAGGCGGGGUCUCUGGGCCGAUACUGACGCUGAGGAGCGAAAGCGUGGGGGAGCGAACAGG
rnacentral:rRNA from 1 species